CCUACGUGCGGCAGCAGUGAGGAAUAUUGGUCAAUGGGCGCGAGCCUGAACCAGCCAAGUAGCGUGAAGGAUGACUGCCCUACGGGUUGUAAACUUCUUUUAUAAAGGAAUAAAGUGAGGCACGUGUGCCUUUUUGUAUGUACUUUAUGAAUAAGGAUAGGCUAACUCCGUGCCAGCAGCCGCGGUAAUACGGAGGAUCCGAGCGUUAUCCGGAUUUAUUGGGUUUAAAGGGAGCGUAGAUGAGUUGUUAAGUCAGUUGUGAAAGUUUGCGGCUCAACCGUAAAAUUGCAAUUGAUACUGGCAGUCUUGAGUACAGUUGAGGUAGGCGGAAUUCGUGGUGUAGCGGUGAAAUGCUUAGAUAUCACGAAGAACUCCGAUUGCGAAGGCAGCUUACUAAACUGCCACUGACAUUGAUGCUCGAAAGUGUGGGUAUCAAACAGGAUUAGAUACCCUAGUAGUC
rnacentral:rRNA from 1 species